CCUCAAGCAAAGGCUAAUCAGUGCUUGUGUUUGAGAUAUAAGGUCAAGUAGAGAUCUUUCAUUGACACCCUUGCAACCGCCCAUAUGAAGUGUUUGAAGUUUAAAUGCCAAUGAAUCUGAACAUCUCUUUUCAAAGUCAGAAGCAGCAGGACCAAAACUCGUAAUACUAGAGCAGAGAGCUUGAAUUGAAUUUAUCCCAAAAGACGUAUCACAAACUAAAAUUGAGUGUAGUUUACCACAUCUGCGUAUGAGAUUUGACAUGCCAGUAUCUGUUAC
rnacentral:misc_RNA from 1 species